rnacentral:rRNA from 1 species
CCGUGAUAAAGUAGCAUAAUCACUCGUCAUUUAAUUGGUGACUGGAAUGAAUGGUUACACGAAUCUUUAACUGUCUCAAGAAGAAAGUUCAAUUAAUUUGAAAAAACAGUGAAGAUGCUGUUAACAAAAUUGUAAGACGAAAAGACCCUUUCGAGCUUUACUAUAAGCUUAUAGAAAAAAUCUUUAAUAAAAAUAUAAUAAAAACAAACUGUAAGCUAGUUAGUUUGGUUGGGGCGACCACCUCUAAAAUAGUAUCAGAGGAAAUCUAAAGGUAUAAUAGUAAUAUUAAUUGCCUUACUGUAUACAAACAAGUUAAUCAGUUACUAUUAUGUAGGAUAUAAUGACCCGUUGAAUUAGUUUCAAAAUUCAACGACCAUGAAAAAAGUUACCGUAGGGAUAACAGGGUAAUAUUAUCAAAGAGUUCAUAUCGAUGAUGAU